rnacentral:lncRNA from 1 species
UGCAACACGUUGAUCCCUAAAUUCUCAGCAAAUGUAAAGCAACAAUUUAAUUUUUGGUUCAAAAUAACAAACAUCCACACUGCAAAAAUAUAAAACAUACAAGGUAGAGCUCUACCACACUCUUUUAAUCGUAUAUUUCUUAUUUCAGAUUUAAUUUUUAUUUCAACUUGCACCUGGUUUAUUUCCAUGCUGAUGGGGUAGACUGCUUGCUACCUACCUUUAUGAUAUGCUCCCUCUACCUGAAGACAUCAUGCAGAAAGGGCUCCUCUCACUGAACUGCAACACGAAAAUCAGAUGGCAAAGUUCUAAAAUGCACUUACUUUGGGGGAAACAUAUCCAUGACCUAAAUGAAUGCUUUAACUUGCUUUAAAGCAGGACUGCAACCUCAUUGGAUCUGCAGAGCUUUUAUCAUUAUUUAUUUUUUCAAAGAAACAGAUUAAAUACUGAGAGGGAAGAAACCAUGAGUUUACUUUGCAAGAUAAAUAAAAGUCUAUUUUUGUCUGAUAAAAAACAUGUUAAAUAUAGCUUGCUAACAAAAUGCUGAAGCUCUCUUGGAAUUUUUUUUUUUUCAAAACAUAGUAAGCUUCAAAGAGCAAUUAAUGUAAUUUCUGCAUACAGUCCUGACUACACCUUAUCUUCCUUCCAGUGAAAGCACUGCUAUCACUCUCUUCCCCUUCAUGGUCAACAAAAUGGUUAGCUAGCUCUUAAUCCAAAAUGAUAUAGCAGAAAUCAUUAAAUAGUCAUGAUAAAAUAAAUAGAAAGAUAGAUGGAUAGGUAGGUGGGUAAAUAUAUAGACAGACAGACAGAUACAAAGCACAGCCUUCAUAUUCUUUUAAUUCAUCACUCUUCUCUUCAGCCUUAUUAAGCUUUCAAGACAGAGUAAAUUAAGUCUGAUUGUCGUGGACCCUUGCAUCCUCUGCAACCCUUGCAUAGCUCAACAGUCAAUAAUCGUUUACCUCUAUCCAGUUCCUUAUUUCCCUAGUAAUUAAUCAUUCCAUAUUCAAUGCAAGACAAUAGCCAUUUUAGGGGGAAAAAAAUCAGGGCUCUUUUUUUUUAGUAGGUGGGAAAAAUCUUAGCAAAAUAGCCACCAGAAUCAAAUGGAAUUCUUCAAGCAGGCGGAAUUUGUAAAAUGAAAACCAUUUAAGAAAACACAUCUUGCUCCUUGAUGAAGUGAGUGGGUCUUCCCCCACCUUCUCACUCAGAGGCCCCAAAGAUGGAGCUAGCUCUCCCUUCCUUCCUCCUUUCACACCAGCCUAAGCAGCCAAUUAAGCAAGUUUAGAAAACCCAUAGAGCUAAAUCCAAACGACACAGGAUUUGAAAGAGGAACCUAAAAGCGAUCGCCCUUAUUCUGGUUUUGUUUUCUUAUCUGAAAUGAAUUAAACAUCUAGAUACAUUUCCACCCGCUUUUCCCGACUUGCUGCAGGAGUAGCUUUGAGAAAGAGAAAACAUGUAAGUGUGUGUGUGUGUGUGCGCGCGCGCGUGUGUGUGUGUGUGUGUGUGUGUGUGUGUGAGUGUGUGUUUAGGGGGGCGUGGGUGGGAGGUAUACUUGCAGAAUCCCCUCCUGGUUGCUCCCCGUUUCCCCAUUUCCCUUAGCAAAUCUUCACAGAGAUGCUGGAUUGUGGGUGUUCAAUUGCUCAUAUUUGGAGAUACUCAAAGCUAUGCCUUUAACCAGAUCUGAUCAGAAUCUCCACCUACUCUGCUAGCUCCUCCAUGAUCUGGAUGCCAGCACUGUCUUUACCACAUCUGUCAUUUUUUAAAAAGCUUCUUCCACUACACCUCCUACUGAUAUCCUUUUUUCUCUUUUUAGUCUUUACACCUCCAGCAGGACAAAGUUUGUAUUGUUAUAGUCACAACCACUAGUGGCUGACUAGCAGGAGAGAUACAGAGCGCCAGCAAGGGAGCCAGGCUAAGGGGGGGUUAAACAGAUACCCAGUGCAAAGCAUGACUUUAUUUCCAAUGACUGCGGACACCAUGCACUAUUGCUCUCUUCCAAAAAAAAAAAAAAAAAAA